rnacentral:rRNA from 1 species
GACGAACGCUGGCGGCAUGCUUAACACAUGCAAGUCGAACGGAAAGGCCCUGCUUUUGUGGGGUGCUCGAGUGGCGAACGGGUGAGUAACACGUGAGUAACCUGCCCUUGACUUUGGGAUAACUUCAGGAAACUGGGGCUAAUACCGGAUAGGAGCUCCUGCUGCAUGGUGGGGGUUGGAAAGUUUCGGCGGUUGGGGAUGGACUCGCGGCUUAUCAGCUUGUUGGUGGGGUAGUGGCUUACCAAGGCUUUGACGGGUGGCCGGCCUGAGAGGGUGACCGGCCACAUUGGGACUGGGAUACGGCCCAGACUCCUACGGGAGGCAGCAGUGGGGAAUAUUGCACAAUGGGCGGAAGCCUGAUGCAGCAACGCCGCGUGCGGGAUGACGGCCUUCGGGUUGUAAACCGCUUUCGCCUGUGACGAAGCGUGGGUGACGGUAAUGGGUAAAGAAGCACCGGCUAACUACGUG